rnacentral:lncRNA from 1 species
CGCGUGGGCACCGCGUGGGACCGGGCACGGGGCUGCCAGGGCUGGGUCCCCUCUGGCCCCGGCCUGGGACACCGCGGGCCUGGGGCGGCGGGCCCCUUUGUGUGACUAAAUUUGGCAAGAAUAUGAAUCCGAGCCAGCCUUUCCACGUGUGCUCCCAGCUCCCAGCUGAGGAGGCCAAGGGUUCUCUUCCGGUGCUCAGGGAAAGCGCCUGACUGACAGCACCGACAUCCAAUGCCCAGGAAUCACGGCAACACCGGCUGGCCAAGCGUGGAGAGGACAAUUUUCCACACUUAGUUCUAUAUGCAGAAAGACUCAUCAGUGAAGUUAUCUUCGCCAAGAAUGCAUUUACCCGGAACACAGCCGGUUUCUAGCUCUUUCCCUGGCUGCAGAGCUGUGCUUAGCUCAGAGUGAGCAACCAGGGGUGAAUUUGGAGGACUGAGCAUGGCAAGGCAAAGAGUUU